rnacentral:lncRNA from 1 species
UUCCUAGGACUCACUGCAGCAACCACUGAAAGUUCACACACCUCCACAGGAUCACUAUGCACCGCCGCCAUUCGCCAUCGAUCACCGCCACGUAUUGGCCAAAAUUCACCGUAGAGCACUUCGCACCCUCAGAUCCGACAUAGAUUUGAUGGAAUCAUGCCUAAGGGAGUCGCAGAACAUCAAAACACACGUCGAGCUAUCGCACAAAUCAUCUUCUUCUCAUGCGUGCAGCACCGGACUCUCGUUUGCUUUUUCUUCUUCUUCUUCUUCCUCUCCUCUCUCAGUUGCUAAUUAAUGGUAACUGUAGCCCCUCUCUCUCUAUCUUCAUCUCUCCUUCUCUCUCUCUUUCUACAUUGAUUUCCUCCCCUCCCUUCGCUUUUUAUAGGGAGGGGUAGAAGGAGUCCUGCACAACCCUUCUUCUUUGGCGUGCAAGUCUCCUCUUCUUUCUUUUCGGCCGGUGGCAGAGGCAUACACACCUCUGCCUCUUCACCUUUCGCGACCAGAGGUAA